AGCUUUAUAUUCAAUUAUGAUAUUAAAUUGCAAAUUUAAAGGUAAAUUAUUUUUAAGGCUU
rnacentral:tRNA from 1 species